rnacentral:rRNA from 1 species
UACGUAGGGUGCGAGCGUUGUCCGGAAUUAUUGGGCGUAAAGGGCUCGUAGGCGGUCUGUCACGUCGAAAGUGAAAACUCAGGGCUCAACCCUGAGCCUGCUUCCGAUACGGGCAGACUAGAGGUAUGCAGGGGAGAAUGGAAUUCCUGGUGUAGCGGUGAAAUGCGCAGAUAUCAGGAGGAACACCGGUGGCGAAGGCGGGUCUCUGGGCCGUAACUGACACUGAGGCGCGAAAGCGUGGGGAGCGAACAGG